CCGAUGCAACGCAGCCACAGCCUGCUCUCCACAGGCCUCUCUGACCCUUUGGGAGGCUCAGCAUCUCAGACAGCUUCUGUUCAUUGAGUCAGGCCCUGUGGGAAGAGCUGGGAUAUGAAGUACAUAAGAUGAGGAAGCCAAAGUAGAGAGAAGUGGAAGAGAUGCUGCAGACCACUGGGUUCUUAAUGAAGCUAAUUAACUUUAGUGAAAUUGGAUCUCCUGUAUCCUUCAAUCGAUCAGUUAGCUACCGCCCCUACCAGCAGAACCUGUGUUGCCGGAAGAGUGGAGCGAGCUUCGUGGUUAAAAGAAAUGGAGCUGGAGGCAGACAGAAGUUGGCAUCGCAACCACAUUGCUGGCUGUGCGACAGUGGGCCGGUCGUGCGGACUCUCUGAGCCUCAGUGUUGUCAUCUGCAGGAGAAUAAGGACAUUUAUGAUAAUGGUAUUUAUCUCGUUGACAUGUUGUGAGGAUCACCCUAGACAAUGCAUUUACAGCGCUUAGGUUAGCCAGCAGGCAGGAGGCACUCAGUCAGCUUUGGGUGAAUUGAACCCCCUUGCUUUCAUUUCUGAAAAGGGAAAGAAGUCUGAGGUCUAGGCAAUGAAUGUCUUCGGGCUGUUAGGUGAAUGUGAGGACUGUCACUUCACACCUGGUGUUUUUGUCACUUUAAAAGGCCUCAGGUUCUCCGUGACUCUGGGUGUCAUUUCUAGGCCGUUGACUUAAUAGGAAACAGGACUGUUCUCUCCCAGAACCCUGACGCGUUCCUUCGCCUGGAGAAAAAUCCCAAAGCCUUGGGAGGCAGUUCCGUGGUGACCUUUCACAGGCAAAUUCACCUCAGGCCUGGGCGGGAAGAGGCCCGGGGAGGGCCCCUUCCCCCGAGCUGAGCCCCGCGCUGUGGGAAUUUCCUCCCGCCUCACUGGGCCAGCCCUGGCUGCGCCUGACUGGGCCACCGGUGGUUUCUGUCGCUGCUGAAACUGCUGUGGAAAGUUUAGCUUGAGAAGAAGAGGGAACUAGGGUGUUUUGAUUUUUUUUCCCCCUUUGCUUUUUGAAAGUCGAACCACCCUGCGACUCCAUGUCAGAAACCUUAACCCAAACCAAAUGCUUUGCUGAUGGGGUGACCGUGUGGCGGGGGCAGGCCGG
rnacentral:lncRNA from 1 species